GGGGGCGAAUGUAAAAGACUAUCUUCAAAAACCAUUAUCUAAAAUAUAAGACUCAUUUCAAAUUUGGAAAAAGUCUACAUCACUCCCUGAACUAUGGGGUGGUGUCUACUUUACCCCCCGAACUAUUAAACAGUUUAAUUUAUGAUUUACUAUGAUUUUUCAAAGAUUCAGCAAAAAUAAAUAGAAAAAAGAAAAAGUCAAAACCACUAUUACUGUAGGAAAACCGCC
rnacentral:lncRNA from 1 species